CAGUCGCCGCGGUAAUACGAAGGGUGCAAGCGUUACUCGGAAUUACUGGGCGUAAAGCGUGCGUAGGCGGUUUGUUAAGUCUGCUGUGAAAUCCCCGGGCUCAACCUGGGAAUGGCAGUGGAUACUGGCAAGCUAGAGUGUGUCAGAGGAUGGUGGAAUUCCCGGUGUAGCGGUGAAAUGCGUAGAGAUCGGGAGGAACAUCAGUGGCGAAGGCGGCCAUCUGGGACAACACUGACGCUGAGGCACGAAAGCGUGGGGAGCAAACAGGAUUAGAUACCCCAGUAGUCCCUGUCCCUUAUAC
rnacentral:rRNA from 1 species